rnacentral:rRNA from 1 species
AUUGAACGCUGGCGGCAUGCCUUACACAUGCAAGUCGAACGGCAGCGGGGACUUCGGUCCGCCGGCGAGUGGCGAACGGGUGAGUAAUGUAUCGGAACGUACCUUUCAGUGGGGGAUAACGUAGCGAAAGUUACGCUAAUACCGCAUAUUCUCUGAGGAGGAAAGCAGGGGACCUUCGGGCCUUGUGCUGAUGGAGCGGCCGAUAUCAGAUUAGCUAGUUGGUGUGGUAAAGGCUCACCAAGGCGACGAGCGGUAGCGGGUCUGAGAGGAUGAUCCGCCACACUGGGACGGAGACACGGCCCAGACUCCUACGGGAGGCAGCAGUGGGGAAUUUUGGACAAUGGGCGCAAGCCUGAUCCAGCCAUGCCGCGUGAGUGAAGAAGGCCUUCGGGUUGUAAAGCUCUUUCGGACGGGAAGAAAUUGGUGGGGCUAAUAUCCCCAUCGGAUGACGGUACCGUAAUAAGAAGCACCGGCUAACUCUGUGCCAGCAGCCGCCGUAACAC